GGGAGCCUGCUAGGGGUGCCCGGCUCCAGCCCUGGACCAGGGGGUCUGAAGUGUCAGCCCCUGGGUCACAGCCCGGACAUUUGGGGGGACCUUCUUUCAGCAGGAGACAGUGAGAUUGGGGACAAUGGCACCUGUCAGCCACACCUUGGUUUUCUGUGUGGGCCUCCUAGCCAUGGCCAAGGCAGAAGCUUCACCGGAACACGACCCAUUCACUUAUGAUUACAAAUCCCUGAGGAUCGGAGGCCUUACCAUUGCCGGGGUCCUCUUCAUCCUGGGCAUCCUCAUCAUCCUCAGUGAG